CAACCGGUCCAGAUAAGUGCUGCGUCUCUGGGCAAUUAUCGCCUUCCUGCCGCCACCGGGGCUGGCCGGGCAGAAAGCCAAAGGCCAAGGGACUCGCAGCCACCCAAGGAGAGCGGGACCCGCCGGUGGGGCCAGGCACCACCGCCACGCGGUUUCACAACGCCGGGACGCGGGAAGCGGCGAGCGGGGAGGCGGCGCGGCGCGAUGACGUCACGCGCAGGCCGGCGCCCGAGUCCCCCGCCCCUGAGCGGGGGGCUGGCCGGGGAAAGCCGGCGUGCUGCCAGCGCCCUGCCAGGUAGCUGGGGGCGAGGCGUCCUGUUCUUCCUUCCUCCUCCUUCUUUCUUCUCCACUUCCUCCCUUGCCUCUCUUCAUCUCGUUUCCCUUUCAUCCCUUUCUCCUUCCCUCCUUCCUUCCUUCCUCCCCUCCUCUCUUCUUCCUUCGUUUUCUUCCCUCCCUUCACCCUUCUCCGUCCACCGCUUCCUUCCUCCUCACCUUCCUCCCCUCUCUCCUUCCUACCUCUCCUUUAUCCUUUCUUUACUUAAAAAAAAAAAUAAUUUUCUAAGAUCUGUUUUUAAUUGUGGCAAAAACAAAUAACAUACAGUUUAUCAUUUUAGGUGUACAGUGGUGUUAAGCACACCCGCAUUGCUGUACAGCCCAUCUCCAGGACUUUUCCAUCUUGCAAAAUUGACACUGUAGCCAUCAAAUAACAACUUCUUUCCUCCUCCCCUUCCCAGUCCCUAGGAACAACAUUCUGCUUUCUUUUCCUUCAUUUCUUCCUUUUACCUUUUUGUGCCUUUCUUUUCCUUUAUUUCUCUGCUUUCGCCCCUCCCUCUUUCCAUCUUCCCCUCUUUCUUUCUUUUUUCUUGAAAACCUGAUGGUCCUUGCCAGCAUUCUACAGUCCGUGCCAGGCGUCAGGCCAAGAGACCUGUCAGUGAGGCUGUUACAGGUCUGGUGAGGAAACUGAGCUUCAGAAAGGUGAAGGGAUUUGCCUAUGGCUAUGGAGCAGGCCCUAGGUUCCAUAUCCCGUAGUACCAGCUCCAUUUUACACAUGAAGAAAUGGAAGUUCAGAGAGACAAAGUGACUUGCUCAAUGUCACACAGCUGGUCCUGGACUGACAGCCUUUCUGACUUCCCAGUUGGCAUUCCCGCCUCCAGCCCCACCUUACUCCAGCCCAACCCCACGUCAGCUUGGGAGAACCUUCCUCACAAUAACUGGAGAAGCAACGACUGGAAGACCUGGCUAAAAAUUGGUCCUGGACAAGGCUGAGCUGCUACCAAGCUGAUCCAAAGACAAGAACCAGGCUGACAAGCCUGAAACACUCUGUUCCAGCCAUCAGAAGCAACACUGAACAGAGAGAUGAAGAAAUCGAGGCCCAAAUUGAGAAUGUGAUUUGCGCAAAGUCACUCAGGCACACAUGGCAGAACCAGGUCCAGGAAGCCAAGUUUUCUAAGACGUUGUUCCUUACUGCGUGUGGCACAGAGGUUUGUUUUGACAGCGUGACUGACGACAAUGAAGUGCUUUCCGCCGAUUUCUCUUAGUGUUUGUUAACAUCUUUAUUCAUCCUUUUACAGUGUUCUUAGAGUUGGCCCACUCCAUUAUUCUUAGAAAGAAAAAUAAUUAUUUUCAUUAUAAAAAUUCUCAUCACAUACAAUUUGGGAUAUACAGGGGGAAAAAAGAGCAAUAUGAAAACAACUUUCAUCAUCCUCACAAAGUUUCUUCUAGCUUUCUAGCAUUUUCUUCUAGUCCUUCCUGCUUUCUAUGCAUGGUUAUUUCUUUGUGGGUUAAACACUUGGGAUAAUUAUUCCUAUUAACACAUAUGAUUGCCAAUGCACAAUCAUCUUUAUUGAUCUGUAAAUGCCAUCUUCUCUUCUGUUCUAAUCCCUGUGCUUUCCUUUUACAAGAUGAGUUUGGUCCAUCUUGUGCUGGAGAGUCAGGCAGUGCUCAAAGAAGUGAUGGGGGCAUGUCAAAAAGAUACGGAAAUCAGCCUGAAGUGGCUCCCAUCAGCCAAAUCUGGGAUAAUUCAAGCAUCAAAAUAGUCAUGAAAAUAAGCCAUUAAAAAAUAGGAAUCUCUGAAUCGCUGUGAUGAUAGAUCAGUAGUAAGUGGAUUAAUACUGAGGAAGAGGCUCUUGCUUCCAGUAAAAUGCCAGCCGAUCAACACGAAGGGAGUUUUAGGGCUGGAAGAUCGUUUCGCAGCCAUCAUGGUAAAGCUUGGCUUAAAUAAGAAUCGUCAUUCUGGAAGGAGCUCCUCAAGGUGAAAUGAAAGGCUGCCGGUUUGUGACGUGAAGACGUAUAAAAAUAGAAACCAAACUUCAGGGUGAGUGUGCAGCUCCCAGGAGGACUCUCUGUGGUCAUCAUGAGACCCUCUUAUCUGUUCUAAGUGAAAACUGAUGGAUACGUUUCGAUUCUGCUAUGUGUGUGCUUGUUGUUUGCUCUCUGCCGUGUCUCUGGAUUUGAGAGGAGGGAACUAGAGUGUUGGGUGUUUUCACCUCUCCUAGAGCAAGGCGGCCAAAUCACCUUUCUGCCGUCCCUGCUCAUUCAGAUGCCACUCCUCCCCGUCACAGUGUCAAACUUGUUGCCCUGUUGUUUUAUCUGUAAUGGCAGGUAAAAAGAAAGAAGACACCUCCUCUUGGAUCAUGGCAAACAUUUAUGAGAAGCCUCCAAGCUGUUUUCUAGUCCCCUACAACUUGGACAGAAUGAAGUCCAAGUCAGAGAAGCAAAUAUUUGAGAGUUACAUGUGGGCUUAGGGAAUGUUUAUCCAAUCUGGGUAAGAAUCAUUUGUCACUAAAAGGCUCCACACACCCUACCCCCAUCACCGUGUCACCUUGCAGAAGGUCAAGUGGCCUUAUGCACGAGGCUCAUGCUCUGCAUUCUUCAUCAAGGGGCAUAGAGGGGUGGGUGAAUCACUGCUGUCACAAGCCAGUAGUCAGGAGGGGAUUAAGAGUAGAAGCCCGCCUUUUCAGGGGGAAUUCAAAUAUGCCAUACCCUUUCUCCAAAGGCCAAACAGCAGAGGGCUAGGGUCUGUGUCCAUUUGGGGCAGAGCUUUAGAAAAAGAAACAGGUGAACUGAGGUCUAGACAUCAUUAAGAUGAGUGGUCUCAAGCGACAGUUAAACAGUAUAGUAUGGUUUAUCACAUCAGUCUCCUCAGCCUGCUCAAGAGAAAAGAGGUCUCUCCAGAGGGCCAAGAUCCAGCCCCAGCUCAGCUCCUGACUUGCUGGGUAAUCUUGGGCUGGUGACUUGCCGUCUGAGGCUCUCAAGUUCCUCAUCUAUAAAAUUAGGAAUGGAGUAAGUAAUGCCUAAGUUGGCACUUGAUUCUUUUUUUGGAACCCACAUGAUGACUCUGAGAUGGGUAUGAAAAAGAACAUCACCCCCAUCUUACAGAUAAAAAAACUGAGGCUCGCCAAGUGGAAGAAUUGAGGCCAAAGUUGUAGUGGACAUAAAUAGCUCUGAAUUCCCUAACUUUGACAUUCUUUCCAUUGCAAUGACAACCCUAUUGCAUAGUUGCCAUCAGAAUUUUUGUACUUGGAACAAUUGUGGGUGAGGGAACAGUAUGGGCAGAGACCCAGAAUCCUGUCUUUGUAACCGAGACACAUCUGUCUCCACUUAAUGCUCACUACUUUCUCUUUAGGGGUUUAAAAAAUUGGCUUAUCGAUGUUUUGUAACCUUGGUUUUCCAUCAGCAGUGAAGGAAGAUACCAUGGCAGGCAGUCAGAAAUAACCCUGGAAUGACAAGAAUGUAGCCAUCUCUCUUAGGCAUGUCAGCAAAAGAUGCACCAGGCUGAUUCCAAGCAGAGAAAGGCUGAGCUGAGAGGCACCUGCCAGAGGCCAUGUGAGCAGCAGUGACAUUAGCCCAUAGGAUGGGGACUCUCUAGGCAGCCACAUACCAGUUGGGAGCUUCACCCAUGUCAACUCAUCAAAUCCUCACAGCAGUCCCAGACGUGGGACACAUCAUCAUCCCCAUUUCACAGAGGAGAAAACCAAGGCCCUCCAAGGUUGUAGAACUUGCCCAGAAAGUCUCCAGGUAUGUGUUGGAACUGGGAAGGAAUCUGAUCCAAAUCUGUCUGUCUUCAAGGAUAAGGUCUGUUUUCAUAACCUUAUAGCACACGCUACCUUCCAGAUUACUUAGGGAUAAUUGCAAGAUUCUGUAGACACACACACACACACGAUUAAAUGGCCACUUAGAACCACUAAUAGUGGAUGCCUCUGUGGAGGAAGACUGGUAGCUUGUGGGUAUAAAAAGAAGGGAGAUUUCCUACUAACCAUAAAUGUUUUACCCUUCUAAAAUUUUGAAACAUAUGCAUAUAUCACUAAUUCAAAAUGAAUUUAUUUAUUUUAAGAUUUUAUUUAUUUGUUAGAGAGAGAGAGAGCUUAAGCUGGGGGAGUGGCAGGCAGAGGGAAAAGCAGACUCUUUGAUGAGCAAGGAGCCCAACACGGGACUCCAUCCUAGGACCCUCAGAUCAUGACCUGAACCAAAGGUAGAUGCUUAACUGGCUGAGCCACCAAGAUGUCCCUCAAAAUGAAUUUACAUUUAACAAAAGGUUACCUAGUAUAUUGGUUUCCUGUGGCUGCUAUAACAGAUUUCCACAGCCUGGGGCUUCAAACAAUAGAAGGUUUCUCCUCACAGUUCUGGAGGUCAGAAGUCUGAAAUCAAGGUGGUUCAGGGCUGUAUUCCUGUCCAAGCUCUUGGGGGGAAUCCAUUCCUUGCCUCUUCCAGUUUCUGGUGGCUUCGGAUAUUCCUUACUCAUGGUACGUCACUCCCAACUCUGUGGUCAUAUUGCUUCUUUCUUCCCUUCUCUGCACAUGUGUCUUAUAAGGUUACGUGAGGCCGCGUGUAGGGCUACCCUAAUCCAGGGUAAGUUCUUCUCAAGAUCCUUGACUUAUUCACAUCUUUAGUCAUGUAAAGUCAUGUUCAGUCUUUUGCUAUAUAAGGUAAUACUCAUAGUAGCAGGGGUUAGGGUGUGGACAUAUCUUUUGGGGGCCACCAUUCCACCCAUUAUGGCUAGGAAUUAGCAGGUGAAUCUCCACCCCUUCCUGUCUGAUGUUGUUUCCCCCCAGUGUAUUGCUCUGGGUAAGACACUGGAGUCUGAACACUGCAGCUGUAGCUCUGAAGCUCGUUGAGAGUGUUUCUGUGGCCUUCUUGGAGAGUUAUGUGCACAAGCUUGGAAGUCAGCCUGGGCGGGUUCUAAUAGCCCCUCCAUUUGUCACCCGGGGGACCCUUCGGAAAACAAAUAUGCCAGUUUUGCUGGUGAUAUUACUAAAGUACAAUUUUGAUAUGUGUAAUGAUAUUACAGCCCUUCCUUUAGGCCCUCAAUGGCUCCUCAGUGGAUGCCCUAAUGCUCGAGGCCUCCGGAUGAUUCCUCUGCUCCGGCCCUAUGCCCCAGGUGUGUUUAUCUCAGGAUACUAUGGACUCACCUAGCUUUUCCUACUUCUUGCUUGUGCUCCUCCCCUGCCUAGAUUUCCUUUUUUUCUCACAUCCGUGUGUUGAAACCCCUCUCAUCCUUCAAGGCUUAAUGAAAUGCCACCUCUUCCACAAAGUCUUUGUCUUCAUCUGCAUGAAAUCUCUCCUUCCAUUCAUUCCUCCCUUGGCCCUCUGCAUCUCCUGCACCAGAGACACACCAGACUUGGCUUUGUAUGGCCUGGAGGCCCCUUGUGAACUGUGGCUCCUUGCAGGCAGGAAAUGUGUCUUGGGCACUGUGGGAGACGGGCACAACACUUGCCAGAAGGAAAGUGUUCAGUGCUGUUUGUUGAGUUUAUAUAAAAACAACAGAGACCAUACCAGAACAGCCCCUCCGUGGUUGUGUGCUCAAAAUCCUUGGUUUUAUGGAUGAGGAAACUGUGACCCAGUCUCAGGUGGGAAAUUACGUAUUUUCAGCCUUCUCUUUCAAGACAACCUGAAUGAUUAGAACAAAAGAUUGAAAGUUUCCAUUUGGGGCCCUAUUAGCUGCUGGCUUGGGAAAAUAUAUUUCUUUGUAAUGCUGUCAAGUGGCAAAGGGUGUGCCUUUCAUGGUAAAGUCUCCCUGCUUCAAAGAGACGAUUGUGAACUGUUUGGUCUCUUUCUCACCGUUCUCUGGCUGUCACGGGCGCAUCCCAGCCCUGGUCUCUCACAUGGCCUGGUUAGAACGCUCUUUUAACUCCACUGUAUUAUUCUUCUAACCUGCCUUUCCUCAGAGGGAAGCCCGACUUGCCCUCCAGGUUCGACGUUCUGGAGCUGUUUUUGAGAGCCCAACUCUCCCAGGGAAAACACAGGAGACGAAUGAAAGCCGCCCCCCGUGCAGCAAAUCCUUCUGGUUGUGUGAAACCUCAGAAGGUAAAGCAGUCUUCUUCAUUGCGUCUUUGUCGUCUGGCAGCGUGUAAAGAAGGGCGAAGCAGAAAGGCAAACCCGAACACCUGUGGCCUUUAUGAAAACCAAAGCCACCUCCCGCCCUGCGCGGUUUGUGUUCUCAACCUGCAGCAUCUGUCAGCCUCCGAUGAAAACCCAGCAGUGGGGGGACCCCGAACCCGGGCUCAGACGAGCUGACUGAGGAAUUAGAAGGAUUUUGCCAUAAGCCCAUUAAUUCUGUCUGAUUGAAAUAUCUUCCAAUUCCACGCGGCCAAGGACAGCUGCACUUUUGUCUCACAUUUUCCAUGGUGUUUUACGCCUGCUUGGAAACAGGGGUGUGGGUCUUUACAGAAAGGUGGAAGGGCCGGAGAUGUGGACCCCAGAGAGAGGGGGCUCCGCAGCUGCCACUUACCAGCCAGAGGGGGGCUUGGCUACACCACUGAAGCCUCCAAGUCUCAACUACCUUAGAUGCUGUAUUUUACCAGGAGUUCACUCUCUAAGGUCAUGUACAGUUGUUCAUUUAUCACCAGGUUGGGAGAAAAGGGAAAGCAAAACUUCAUGGUUGAAGGAAGGCCAUUUAUCUCAAUUUUCUCUGUAACAAAAUUGACCUUGGCCCUUUGACCUACUUCGGGACCUGGCGAAGGCAUGGUCUGAGCACCUGCGGUAGGAGGAGCUGGUGGGGAGACCCAAGUAGACUCAGCUAUGGAGACUGGACACUGCUGGGACCAAGAUGCUACUUCACUGACUCAGGGUCAUCAUCUAAGACAGGCCCGCAGUCCUCCGCAUUCAGUAAGCAGCACUCUUGUUACUCCUUCUGGAACCCCAAAACUGAAACCACCAACAGCCCUUGGAAUGCGGAGAGACACCUUAAAUCAUUCUCUUUGUUUAUACAUUCCUCAAGUAUAAAAACAAAUGCUAUUCAUAUCCAGGUGCCCCCUCAAAAAAACAAAAACAAAAACAAAAAAAACCAAAUGCUAAUAUUCUUGCUAUAAUUUUAAAUCAAUAAAGAGACAACAAAGGAUCGCAAUGAUGUAAAAACUAUGCAUAAAAGAAAAGACAAAUGUUGAUUAAUAGUGGUUGUAUUUAAGAGAUAAUGGGCUUUUUUCAGCUUUUGUAUGUAUUUUUUAAAAACUUAAAAGGGGGGAUGCCUGGGUAGUUCAUUUGGUUAAGCAGCUGCCUUCUGCUCAGGUCAUGAUCCCAGUGUCCUGAGAGCAAGUCCCACAUCAGGCUCCUUGCUCGGCAGGAAGCCUGCUUCUCCCUCUGCCUCUGCGUGCCACUUUGCCUGCCUGUGCGCCCACACUCUCUCUUUCUGACAAAUAAAUAAAAAAUAAAAUCUUUUAAAAAAAUACUUAAAAGCAUUCAUCAAUUACUCUUAUUAUAAAAAAGGGUCCUAUUCAGAAAUAUUUUAAUGCCCCAAAGGGAAAGUUCAUUUAUAUUAUAUUUUCAUGAAAAUUACAUAUAUAACUUUGAUAAAAAUUAACGAUAGCAUGCUAUAAUACUGAAAAUUUUGGAAGAUGCUUUAUGAAUAUUAAUAGAGACCAAGUCUGUGUCACUCAGUGAGUGCA